CGGCGGACGGGUGAGUAACACGUGGAUAACCUACCUAUAAGACUGGGAUAACUUCGGGAAACCGGAGCUAAUACCGGAUAAUAUAUUGAACCGCAUGGUUCAAUAGUGAAAGACGGUUUUGCUGUCACUUAUAGAUGGAUCCGCGCCGCGUUAGCUAGUUGGUAAGGUAACGGCUUACCAAGGCAACGAUGCGUAGCCGACCUGAGAGGGUGAUCGGCCACACUGGAACUGAGACACGGUCCAG
rnacentral:rRNA from 1 species